GAUGAACGCUGGCGGCGUGCCUAAUACAUGCAAGUCGAGCGAACGGACGGGAAGCUUGCUUCUCUGAUGUUAGCGGCGGACGGGUGAGUAACACGUGGAUAACCUACCUAUAAGACUGGGAUAACUUCGGGAAACCGGAGCUAAUACCGGAUAAUAUUUUGAACCGCAUGGUUCAAAAGUGAAAGACGGUCUUGCUGUCACUUAUAGAUGGAUCCGCGCUGCAUUAGCUAGUUGGUAAGGUAACGGCUUACCAAGGCAACGAUGCAUAGCCGACCUGGGAGGGUGAUCGGCCACACUGGAACUGAGACACGGUCCAGACUCCUACGGGAGGCAGCAGUAGAGAAUCUUCCGCAAUGGGCGAAAGCCUGACGGAGCAACGCCGCGUGAGUGAUGAAGGUCUUCGGAUCGUAAAACUCUGUUAUUAGGGAAGAACAUAUGUGUAAGUAACUGUGCACAUCUUGACGGUACCUAAUCAGAAAGCCACGGCUAACUACGUG
rnacentral:rRNA from 1 species